GCCUGGCUGGCUCAGUCAGUAGAGCAUCUGGGACUCUUGAUCCCAGGGUUGUGAGUUCAAGCCCCACAUUAGGUG
rnacentral:tRNA from 1 species